rnacentral:rRNA from 1 species
UACGUAGGGUGCGAGCGUUAAUCGGAAUUACUGGGCGUAAAGGGUGCGCAGGCGGCUCCGCAUGUCGGGCGUGAAAUCCCCGGGCUUAACCUGGGAAUUGCGUCCGAAACUAUAGAGCUGGAGUGUGGCAGAGGGAGGUGGAAUUCCACGUGUAGCGGUGAAAUGCGUAGAGAUGUGGAGGAACACCGAUGGCGAAGGCAGCCUCCUGGGCCAACACUGACGCUCAUGCACGAAAGCGUGGGGAGCAAACAGG